AAAGGAAUAGACGGGGGCCCGCACAAGCGGUGGAGCAUGUGGCUUAAUUCGAUGCAACGCGAAGAACCUUACCCGGGCUAAAUCUCUGGUGACCGGUCCCGAAACGGGCCUUCCCUUCGGGGCACCAGCGAAGGUGCUGCAUGGCUGUCGUCAGCUCGUGCCGUGAGGUGUUGCCUUAAGUGGCGCAACGAGCGCAACCCCUGUGGUUAGUUACCAGCACGUUAUGGUGGGGACUCUAGCCAGACUGCCUACGCAAGUAGUGAGGAAGGUGGGGACGACGUCAAGUCAUCAUGGCCCUUAUGUCCGGGGCUGCACACGUGCUACAAUGGAUGAUACAGAGGGAAGCCACCCGGUGACGGGGCGCAGAUCUCGAAAGUCAUUCUCAGUUCGGAUUGGAGUCUGCAACUCGACUCCAUGAAGGUGGAAUCGCUAGUAAUCGCGUAUCAGCAAUGACGCGGUGAAUACGUUCCCGGGCCUUGUACACACCGCCCGU
rnacentral:rRNA from 1 species